CGGGAGCGGCUCCCGCCUACCCGCGCCCGGCCGCGGGCACCGGAAAAGCAGCGAGCGCGGCCCUGGCCCCGGCGGAGUGGUGCCGCGGCGGGGGGGAGCGGAGCCGCGAGCCCUACCUGCGCCUCAGGCCGCGGGUGCGCAGCGCCGCGGAAGGCGGAGCCAGCGAGCCCAGGAGCGACGGCGGCGGCGACGGCGACGGCGACGGCGGCGGCGACGGCGACGGCGACGGCGACAGCACCUCCCCCGCCCCGCCCUCGGCAGCGCCGUGCGCUCCCCAGCGUGCCCCCUGCCGGUGGGAGGCCGCGACCAAGCCCACAGGCGGCCUCGCUCAAGUGGCUGCAGCUUCAGCACUGAGGGCUUUCCUAUUGGCUCGUCACCCUUGCUUUGGAAACCGGUACUCGUGAUUGGCUGCGGCGAGGAAACUCUUUGCCGAUGAUUGGCUGGCCGCCUCCACCCACGCCCCGCCCCGCGGGCUCUCCAUCGCUGCGUGAGCCGUGGCGUGGGGCUGGCUGAGCCCACGAGCCCGCCGGCGGCCAUCGGCGUGAGCAGCGGCCGCCGCGCACCUCCAGCCGCCCCCUGCGCCUCCCGCCGCAGCCUGACGUGCGACUCCCUGGGCGCAGUGACGUCACCCUCCUUCCGCCCCGGCGGGGGGGGCUCCUGCGCGCGCUCCGGGCUGGCGUGGCGCCUCACACCGUGCGCGUGCGACGCGGCGGCGAGCGCGCGCUGCCCCAGGCACCGGCGGAGAGCAGCGGCGGCGGAGCGGGGAGAGCAGCGGCAGCCGUGCGGCGGCGGAGCGGGGAGAGCAGCGGCAGCCGUGCGGCGGCGGACCGGGGAGAGCAGCCAGCGGGUACGAGGGCGUGCAGGGGGAACGGCGCUCGGUCCUGCGGCUUCUGCCGUUGCCGUGAGCCGACGCUUUCUCUGUCACUCUCCUGAGAUGAGUAUUUAUGAACCUGGGAACUUGUUCCCUCUUUUGACUUUAUUGGAACUCACCAAAUACGUUUGUGGAACUCCUUUGCCAAACAAUAACGCGUGAGGGAGCGGGCGGGCUGAGGAACGCUGCUGAGUCGUGACUCCCGGCGGCGGGAAGGCAGAGCCCGGUCCGUCGAGGCUGGCGGUACGAAUCCCCGCUGCGGGCACGCACACACUUCCAGCCAGGGGAACUGCGGGAUUGCGGCUGUCUCGAGUGCAUUCAAAUGUCAGGGAUUGGGAUAUUUUUUUUCCACUCUUAAAUGUGACAUACUUGAUGGUAUUUCCUUCUUUUUCCCAGUAGCAUUAUUGCAGCUGACCUGUCUUGUACAGAUGUCACCACAAAUAACGUGAUGAAAAACUCCAUUUGAGAUGCUGAUGUGAUUACGUAUGGUAGAACUCUUAAAGAAAAGCUUUACAGGUUUUAACAAAUACAGAUUAAUUGAGACUGAAAGGAAUACGGCCAAUUAGUAAUUUAUUGGGUGAAGUUAACACCUCCAGUUGAUCUCCAUCAUGUCGUUCCUUGAGACUGUGACAAUUUAAUGGUAGCAGUCUGAUAUUAAAUAGUUAAUGCUUAAGUGUAUAGAAUUAAAGUUAAAAGUCUGAUAGGACUCAGUGUGAAAUGGGGCAUUUGCUUACUGCAGGAACUAAAGGAAGGUGACAGAAACAAAAAGUAAAAAAAAAUGCAUAGAACAAAACUUAUUAAUUUGUACCCGUGGAUCAUAAUCUGUGAAAUCGAUCACAAAAAUAGUAAGAAGGCUUUUCCAGUUCCCAGUUACAAUUGCUUGAACACUGAGCAGCUUCAGAAAAUAAGCAGUAAUGAUUGUUCUCAUCCAGAACAAUGAACAGUUGCUGAGGUAAUAUCUCUUGGUUGGUAGUAGCAUGAUGAAAAUAUUAAUCCUAGCUCUUAAUCAUUUUGAUUUAUAGGUAUUACAUAAAUCAUGUUGCUAAUUUUUCUAAGUCUGCUGUUAGGAUUGACUACAUACCAUUCAUCUUUGGAGAAGGGAUUUUUGAGAACUCCACUGAUGGGCUGACUACUGUGGGAGUGUUUCAGAUAUACUAGAGACUGCAAAAGUGAGCCUGAAAAAUUACAUCAGCUGAUUCUUUGCUUCAAAUUAGAAGAAACACAGAAUGCCUCAUAACUGAGAGUCUAUCAAAAGGAAUACGUCUGCCUACCUCUGCAAACUUUGAAAGGCUAUUCAGUGAGAACUACAAAGAAGGCCUCAGAGGAAUGAACUACUUUGUUACCAGUUCCCUUUUGACUGCUGGUUCUUGAGAUCACCUAUGACUCGAUGCUAUGAAGAUUUUCGAUCCAUUUAGCAAGAUUCAAACUUGCAACAGUUGAAGAGAAAACUGUUCUUUUUACAGCUUUACUGUGACUGAUUUUUUGCUCUUGUUCUUGCUAUCUUGCACAUCCUGAUGCCCUCUAGGAAGGCCCAUUACACAUAGUAUAGCAAACUCCAUUAUUCUGUACAGUAAAUGCAGAAAAUGAUGGUUCCUUCACUGCUAGUGCAAAUGGGGUCAUUCAUGGCAUUUGAUAUAUUAAUUCUAUGAUGCCUUCUCGUACGUAGUUAGAACUUUUUUUCUCCUUUACACAUGGAAACAAAGUUCUUCACAGUACUUUAAAGCACACAGCUUCUCUGUGUGUUAAGGACGUUAUGAACUUUAUUAGAUACAGAACCUGUAGCCAAGAGUUUUUCUAGAUGGCUGCCCAUGAAAUUCAGUAAAUACAGUAUCACCUUCAGGAAGUUGUUUUAUUUUAAACCAAGGAAGCAAUUUAUGUACUUGGAUCAGGUUAUCUCCCUCAUGUAAAUAAAACCAAAAAGAAAGACCAAGGUUUAAGACUGCCAAACCCAUUGGUGUCCUAGUUUCCAGUUUGCACAAUGAAAAUUAUGCAACAUUUUUAUAUCUCUUUGAAGAUUUGGUGAACUCUAUAAGAGCUAAGUAUCAUCUUCCCUGAGAACUGUCAUAUUUUACAAGGUACUGGGACCGGGACUUCAGCAGCUACCUUCAGACUCAACUGUUUUCUUAGCUUUUUGUGACAAAGAGCCUACAAGUCUUCUGCUCAUAAGUGUCCUGAAUAUGUCUUUUCUGGUCCAUAACUGAUCACUUUUAAGAGACUAUAAAGCCUAUAGAAUUACAAACUCUCUCAGGUCUAAACCUGUAUUCUUAAGCCAGUAAUUGAUACUGCAAAGAAGCCUAAGUGUUAAGUCUUUAUAAUUACAGGAGAUAUAAGUUGUUCUAAAUUGUUUAUAUUAUAUAAUACCCAUGGUAUUUGUUGCCUUCCAAAUGCAGUGGAAAAUAGGCAUACAUAGAGAACUUAAUAAUAUGUUUGUCAUGACGGCCCAGAUUCGAGAAUGCAUUUAAACUCUUUACCUUCUACUGAGACAAGAGUCCUCACAUCUCACUGGAAGUCAAAACAGCAGCUAAGCAAACAUUUUACUGAACCUUGACCUACACACUGUACACUUACACAUUAUGCAUAUUCAUCAAUAAAUGACUAUUAGAACUUUUGGCUGAUUUUGAAGUAUCUGGUUCAUUUCAGGUAUAGCAGAUCGAGAUGCUACUGCUGACAGUUCUCUGGUUCAGUUACUACUCAUCCCAACCACACUGCAAAACCAAACAGUAAAGACAGGAGAUUAUCCAUCAGCAAAGAAAGAUACCCAGUGCCUGCUUGACAAGUGACACACUCAGUUCUUCAGCACUAGUUUUUGAUCUCACAUGU